rnacentral:rRNA from 1 species
UACAGAGGUCCCAAGCGUUGUUCGGAUUCAUUGGGCGUAAAGGGUGUGUAGGUGGCGCCGUAAGUCGGGUGUGAAAUCUCUGGGCUUAACCCAGAAAGGUCAACCGAUACUGCGGGGCUAGAGUGCAGAAGGGGCAACUGGAAUUCUCGGUGUAGCGGUGAAAUGCGUAGAUAUCGAGAGGAACACCUGCGGCGAAGGCGGGUUGCUGGGCUGACACUGACGCUGAAGCGCGAAAGCUAGGGGAGCGAACGGG